GAUUAACGCUAGCGGCAGGCAUAAUACAUGCAAGUUGGACGGCAGCACAGGUAGCAAUACUGGGUGGCGAGUGGCGCACGGGUGCGUAACACGUAUGCAACCUACCCUAUACAGGCGAAUAACCUUUAGAAAUGAGGGCUAAUACGCCGUAGUAUUACAGAUGGGCAUCUAUUUGUAAUUAAAGAUUUAUCGGUAUAGGAUGGGCAUGCGUCCCAUUAGUUAGUUGGUAAGGUAACGGCUUACCAAGACGAUGAUGGGUAGGGGAUCUGAGAGGACUUACCCCCACACUGGUACUGAGACACGGACCAGACUCCUACGGGAGGCAGCAGUAAGGAAUAUUGGGCAAUGGCCGCGAGGCUGGCCCAGCCAUGCCGCGUGCAGGAAGACGGCCUUAUGGGUUGUAAACUGCUUUUAUACGGGAAUAAUAGAGUGUACGCGUACAUUUAUGCAAGUAUCGUAUGAAUAAGCAUCGGCUAACUCCGUG
rnacentral:rRNA from 1 species